CACGUAGGGUGCGAGCGUUGUCCGGAAUUAUUGGGCGUAAAGAGCUCGUAGGCGGUCCGUCACGUCGGAUGUGAAAUUCAGGGCUCAACCCUGGACCUGCAUUCGAUACGGGCGGACUAGAGUUCGGCAGGGGGAGACUGGAAUUCCUGGUGUAGCGGUGAAAUGCGCAGAUAUCAGGAGGAACACCCGUGGUGCAGACGGGCUUGCUGGACCGUGACUGACGCUGAGGCACGAAAGCGUGGGUAGCAAAACAGG
rnacentral:rRNA from 1 species